GCAUAACGCGAAGAACCUUACCAAGGCUUGACAUACACCGGAAACGGCCAGAGAUGGUCGCCCCGUAGGGUCGGUGUACAGGUGGUGCAUGGUUGUCGUCAGCUCGUGUCGUGAGAUGUUGGGUUAAGUCCCGCAACGAGCGCAACCCUCGUUCUCUGUUGCCAGCACGUUAUGGUGGGAACUCAGGGGAUACUGCCGGGGUCAACUCGGAGGAAGGUGGGGAUGACGUCAAAUCAUCAUGCCCCUUAUGUCUUGGGCUUCACGCAUGCUACAAUGGCCGGUACAAAGGGCUGCGAUACCGUGAGGUGGAGCGAAUCCCAAAAAGCCGGUCCCAGUUCGGAUCGUAGUCUGCAACUCGACUACGUGAAGUCGGAGUCGCUAGUAAUCGCAGAUCAGCAACGCUGCGGUGAAUACGUUCCCGGGUCUUGUACACACCG
rnacentral:rRNA from 1 species